AAAGAACUGAUUGGCACUUCCUUGUUUGUGACAGCGUUAAAAGACCAAGCCCUGAAGCUAGAUGCAUGAUGGGAAAUGCAAUGAGCUGCUUGUCAGGGAAGAGACAAUUCACGGGAGAGGCCCCACGAAAGCUGUAUACAUUCCCAAUUUACUCGCAUCUCUGCGGUUUUUAAGGAGCUACAGAGUUUGAUGGGCCGUCCCAGACGCCGGUUGACAUUUUGUCCCCAGUCCGACCGGAUGCCGCAUAAAAAAUUCAAUCAGGCGAGAAGCCAGGAGGAAUACCGUCUCCCCCCACCCUCAGCGAGUGCCUCUCAGCGGGGAGUGCAAGAGGCAGUAGUGGUGACACUGAUCCUGACAUGAGCACCGCUGUUGUCCUGUACAAGGUUUGCUCCCCCCCUCAGUGUCAUGAGCCCUCAGAGAGCAGUGGCUGGUGUGAAUGCAGCGCUCUCAUGAUGGCAUGUGACAGCAGAUCCCUGAGCAAAGGCUGAAGUGUCCACACACAUCGUUGCCCCUGUCAUACACACAAGAGAGCAGUUACACCACACAACCAGUCAGC